AACGAAGAGGCGCAUUACUCAGGUAGAUCAUUUUAGGGACUGGAACUGCUAACAAAUGAUUAAGGGGAUGUAAUGCCGAGGUUUGGUAACGUUCCAGAAAGUUAUCAAAUCGACUGCAAGGGCUGAAUCCCUUGGGUUGUCACCUUAACAGGUGGAGCGCUUCGCGGU
rnacentral:ncRNA from 1 species